GUUACACGCUGGGUCCCAAUCGUCGCGUAAACGGUUCUGUGGUGGGCGUGGAGUCUGAUCUGAAUCAGAUAUGUCUGCCCGAGGAAAAGGAGGCAAGUCCAAGGACAAGC